UCAGGCCUACGGGAGGCAGCAGUCGAGAAUCAUUCACAAUGGGGGAAACCCUGAUGGUGCGACGCCGCGUGGGGGAAUGAAGGUCUUCGGAUUGUAAACCCCUGUCAUGUGGGAGCAAAUUAAGAAGAUAGUACCACAAGAGGAAGAGACGGCUAACUCUGAGCCAGCAGCCGCGGUAAUACAGAGGUCUCAAGCGUUGUCCGGAAUCACUGGGCGUAAAGCGUGCGUAGGCUGUUUCGUAAGUCGUGUGUGAAAGGCGCGGGCUCAACCCGCGGACGGCGCAUGAUACUGCGAGACUAGAGUCA
rnacentral:rRNA from 1 species